UCGAUUUGGAGUUUGUUGCCUUGAGUGAUGGGCUCCGAAGCUAACGCGAUAAAUCGACCGCCUGGGGAGUACGGCCGCAAGGUUAAAACUCAAAUGAAUUGACGGGGGCCCGCACAAGCGGUGGAGCAUGUGGUUUAAUUCGAUGCAACGCGAAGAACCUUACCUGGUCUUGACAUCCACAGAAUCUUGCAGAGAUGCGAGAGUGCCUUCGGGAACUGUGAGACAGGUGCUGCAUGGCUGUCGUCAGCUCGUGUUGUGAAAUGUUGGGUUAAGUCCCGCAACGAGCGCAACCCUUAUCCUUUGUUGCCAGCGGUUUGGCCGGGAACUCAAAGGAGACUGCCGUUGAUAAAGCGGAGGAAGGUGGGGACGACGUCAAGUCAUCAUGGCCCUUACGACCAGGGCUACACACGUGCUACAAUGGCGUAUACAAAGGGAGGCGACCUCGCGAGAGCAAGCGGACCUCACAAAGUACGUCUAAGUCCGGAUUGGAGUCUGCAACUCGACUCCAUGAAGUCGGAAUCGCUAGUAAUCGUGAAUCAGAAUGUCACGGUGAAUACGUUUCCCGGGCCU
rnacentral:rRNA from 1 species